GGAUGUGAGGGCAAUCUGGCUGUGACACCUGUCACCCCAUUGAUCCCAGGGGUUGAUUCGGCUGAUCUGGCUGGCUAGGCAGAUGUCCCCUUCUGCUUGCAACACUCCAUGUGCGUCCUUCCCAAAGCUGCAUGCUCGGGCAGAGAGAACAACCACCCUCAAUGGAGGAGGACCGUUCCUUGGUCAGGGGUGUACGAGUAGCUGCGCUCCCCUGCUAGGCCCUCCAAGCAAGCUCUCAAGGAAGACAUUGCCAUAUUGGCUUAGUGAGCAGGUGGGUCUGCCAGGGGAUGGGUUGUGUCAUCCAUCCACUCUGAGUAGGGCAAACAGGCGCAGGAAGGGCUGUCUCUCUGUUU
rnacentral:snRNA from 1 species